GCAGUCGAACGGUGAACACGGAGCUUGCUCUGUGGGAUCAGUGGCGAACGGGUGAGUAACACGUGAGCAACCUGCCCCUGACUCUGGGAUAAGCGCUGGAAACGGCGUCUAAUACUGGAUAUGUGACGUGACCGCAUGGUCUGCGUUUGGAAAGAUUUUUCGGUUGGGGAUGGGCUCGCGGCCUAUCAGCUUGUUGGUGAGGUAAUGGCUCACCAAGGCGUCGACGGGUAGCCGGCCUGAGAGGGUGACCGGCCACACUGGGACUGAGACACGGCCCAGACUCCUACGGGAGGCAGCAGUGGGGAAUAUUGCACAAUGGGCGCAAGCCUGAUGCAGCAACGCCGCGUGAGGGAUGACGGCCUUCGGGUUGUAAACCUCUUUUAGCAGGGAAGAAGCGAAAGUGACGGUACCUGCAGAAAAAGCGCCGGCUAACUACGUGCCAGCAGCCGCGGUAAUACGUAGGGCGCAAGCGUUAUCCGGAAUUAUUGGGCGUAAAGAGCUCGUAGGCGGUUUGUCGCGUCUGCUGUGAAAUCCCGAGGCUCAACCUCGGGCCUGCAGUGGGUACGGGCAGACUAGAGUGCGGUAGGGGAGAUUGGAAUUCCUGGUGUAGCGGUGGAAUGCGCAGAUAUCAGGAGGAACACCGAUGGCGAAGGCAGAUCUCUGGGCCGUAACUGACGCUGAGGAGCGAAAGGGUGGGGAGCAAACAG
rnacentral:rRNA from 1 species